GAUUGAACGCUGGCGGCAGGCCUAACACAUGCAAGUCGAGCGGCAGCACGGGUACUUGUACCUGGUGGCGAGCGGCGGACGGGUGAGUAAUGCCUAGGAAUCUGCCUGGUAGUGGGGGAUAACGCUCGGAAACGGACGCUAAUACCGCAUACGUCCUACGGGAGAAAGCAGGGGACCUUCGGGCCUUGCGCUAUCAGAUGAGCCUAGGUCGGAUUAGCUAGUUGGUGAGGUAAUGGCUCACCAAGGCGACGAUCCGUAACUGGUCUGAGAGGAUGAUCAGUCACACUGGAACUGAGACACGGUCCAGACUCCUACGGGAGCAGCAGUGGGGAAUAUUGACAAUGGGGGAAACCCUGAUCCAGCCAUCCCGCGUGUGCGAUGGAAGGUCCGUUCGGGUUGUAAA
rnacentral:rRNA from 1 species